rnacentral:lncRNA from 1 species
AGCCUACUGGCAUGUAAAAGUCUGCCAGAACACCUAGAACUAUCCUUGGCAGACCUUUGAGGAAGAGAGGGCAAUGGCAUCACCCCUACCAACUCCCCCAGGCUCAGAGGAUGAGAUGCCAGCAGGAGGGCAGUCCUGGGAUGUCUUGGAGCCUAGCCAGCCUCCUGUAGACCUCUAAGCCUCGCAAGAGUCCCACUGCCUGGAUCCUGAGACUUAGCCAACACCCAAACGCUGUCCAUCUACAACUCAUCCUGGGCAUCCUAUUCGAGGCACCACCUGGGAGGACUCUUCCUCGUCUAGCAGUGGGGACUGGGAGAUGAGUGCCCUAGCAGGAUCUGUGGACCCCAUCCUGCUUAAUUCUGCCUAUGGACAUAAUGUGGGAGCUGCUGCACACAGAGAAGGAACUGCAACCCAGCGAUAAGACACCCGGACAGGAUGACUGUGACCCAGAAGUUCUUCAGAUGGGCUAUCAAAAAACAAUUGGAUCUAAGAGUGACCACAAGACAACCUCUAACUUCAUUAUAAUCUCACCUACAUACUGCUAAGUGACAUACACCCCAGCACUGUGACAGGUGACUAUCUCCAUAAUGACAACCAGAAAGAACUAGAAGAGGCAGUGUCCAAAUUCCCAGAAAAUCUACAUCUACUUCCAGAAAGACAUGAAUUUUCCUCCCCUUCUUAUCCUGUCGCUCUCCCUCUUCUCCUGUUCUCUGUAUAACUCCCACUUCUCUUAUUCUCCACCAAGAAUAAAAUCACCCUUUCUGC